rnacentral:rRNA from 1 species
GCAGUCGAGGGGCAUCGGGGAGCGAAGCUUGCUUUGCUCCGCCGGCGACCGGCGCACGGGUGAGUAACGCGUAUGCAACCUGCCCGUUUCAGCGGGAUAACCCGGAGAAAUCCGGCCUAAUACCGCAUGUGGCCGAGGGAAGGCAUCUUCUUUCGGCCAAAGGAGGCGACUCCGGAGACGGAUGGGCAUGCGUGACAUUAGCUUGUUGGCGGGGUAACGGCCCACCAAGGCGACGAUGUCUAGGGGUUCUGAGAGGAAGGUCCCCCACACUGGUACUGAGACACGGACCAGACUCCUACGGGAGGCAGCAGUGAGGAAUAUUGGUCAAUGGGCGAGAGCCUGAACCAGCCAAGUCGCGUGAAGGAUGACGGCCCUACGGGUUGUAAACUUCUUUUGUCAGGGAGCAAUUGAGUCCACGUGUGGGCUUAGCGAGAGUACCUGAAGAAAAAGCAUCGGCUAACUCCGUGCCAGCAGCCGCGGUAAUACGGAGGAUGCGAGCGUUAUCCGGAUUUAUUGGGUUUAAAGGGUGCGUAGGCGGAAUAUCAAGUCAGCGGUAAAAAUUCGGGGCUCAACCCCGUCGUGCCGUUGAAACUGAUGUUCUUGAGUGGGCGAGAAGUAUGCGGAAUGCGUGGUGUAGCGGUGAAAUGCAUAGAUAUCACGCAGAACUCCGAUUGCGAAGGCAGCAUACCGGCGCCCAACUGACGCUGAAGCACGAAAGCGUGGGUAUCGAACAGGAUUAGAUACCCUGGUAGUCCACGCAGUAAACGAUGAAUGCUAUUGUCCGGAGGGAUUGACCUCUGGGUGAUACAGCGAAAGCGUUAAGC